UGAUGCCAUUUUGCUGCCACUUCUCAG
rnacentral:piRNA from 1 species